AGCUAAACAGAGAACAACUACUUUACACAGAAUGAAAACAUCAAACCUAUAAAAAUAUUAUAAAAAAGUAUUAAUACAACAAGAUUUGAACACAUAUGUCAAAAACAGGCAAUCAUCACAUAUUUUUCGAUUAUAUUAUCUUUUAGGCUUUUAAAACAAUAAGAGUUUGGAUUAUGAUUUAAACUAUAUAAUAUGUAAAAACCCUAUUGAAAAUUAAUAAAUUUUAAAAUAUACAUAUUGCAUUUAUUUGAUAUACCUUCUCUACUGAUUCACGCUAAUAAAUAUAUUCACUCUCAAUAUACACAAAACAUAUCUAUCAAAUACUAUACACAAUACAGUCAUUUCUUCCAAAAACCAAAAUAAUGCCAGGUUCAUGGAGAAUUCUCAUAUCUGGUGGCACACUUACACUCUCUCUAUAUGGAGCCGAGAAAUGUAAAGAAUAAAAAAUUCUUCAAUUUAGGAGGGAGAAAUCAAGCAAUCUUUUUCUACAUGCUGGACAACAAUUUGCCCCAAAAGAAAGAGUUUGUGUGUCAAUCUUGCACGGCUCAUUCUUAAUCGAGAGAAGAUGAUGCCUUUUACGAUUUUGAUCCUCCGAGGGCCGUCAACCCUGUCCUUGAUAUAUGACAUCUGAGGGCUCAAUCGUGGUGAUGAGGAUGUCCCGGACUUAGCCACCUUCUUAUUCUACUUCAGAUGUAGCCAUGAAGGUGUUUUAAAAAAUUUAACAGGAGAUAUUUUAAACAAGCAAUAAGAGUAGCUACCGUAAAAGACACACUCUUCAUUUCUAACGUUGAGACAGUCGUCGCUGAGGAGGAGGACA